rnacentral:rRNA from 1 species
AAACAUUUCUUAUAAUAUUAUUAUAAGUAACACCUGCUCAAUGAAUUUUUAACAGCCGCAGAAUUUUUACUGUGCUAAGGUAGCAUAAUCAUUAGCCCCUUAAUUAGGGGCUUGUAUGAACGGUGACACAUUUCACUUACUUUAUUAAUUUAUCUUUUUUAAUUUAAAUAAAGAAUAAAAAUGUUCUUAUUAUUUUAAUAGACGAUAAGACCCUUUUGAACUUUACUUUAGUUUAGCUGGGGCAGCUAAAAAAUAAUAAUCUUUACUACCCUCUUUACUUAAACGACCCAAUAAAAUUGAGUUUCUGAGCAAGUUACCAUAGGGAUAACAGCGUAAUAUCUUUUUAAAGCUCUUAUUUAAAAAGAAGUUUGCGACCUCGAUGUUGAAUUAGUGUGCCCUUAUUGGUGCAAUAACUUUUAAAGUGGGUCUGUUCGACCCUUAAUACACUACAUGAUCU